rnacentral:rRNA from 1 species
UACGGGGGUGGCUAGCGUUGUUCGGAUUCACUGGGUGUAAAGGGCAUGUAGGUGGUUAGGUAAGUCCCAAUUGAAAUACUUCGGCUCAACCGAAGAACUGGUUGGGAAACUGCCUGGCUUGAGUUCGGGAGAGGAGAAUGGAAUUCCCGGUGUAAAGGUGAAAUUUGCAGAGAUCGGGAGGAACACCAGUGGCGAAGGCGAUUCUCUGGCCCGAAACUGACACUGAAAUGCGAAAGCUAGGGGAGCAAACAGGAUUAGAUACCCCGGUA